rnacentral:tRNA from 1 species
GUGGCCAUCGUUCAAUGGUAGGACAGCGGGUUGUGGUCCCGCUAACGAGAGUUCAAUUCUCUCUGGCCACCCA